AGUAAAUAAUUAUUGCUUAAUUUGCUAAUUAAAUUUUCCAAUAGAUGAAUAAAUUAAUGUAUAGAAUAUUGCAGUGAGGAUGUUAUUGUAAAAGCUAAGAAAAAAUAGAGUAAGAGUGUAAUAUAUUUAAGAGUAAUGGUAUCUAAAGGUAUUGUUUUAAAAUGUAGGGACUGAGUAAAUAUCUAAGUCAAAAUAUAAAGAUUACACAAAUGUUUACCCAAACAUGUACAUUGAUAGUCAACCAUAGUCGGCCAACCAAACAAAUGGAAAAACUAAAAAUUGGUGUGGAUUAAUGAUGUUUCGAAAUUUUAUGGGUAAGAUGACGAUAACCGAUUUGUUUAAACGUUCAAUCAAAUUUACACUUCUCAAGGUCGAGGGUUUGAGAAUUCCUAUUGUUUUGCGACUAUAUUUUUAUGAUAUAUACAUUUACCAUAAGAUUAGAUAUUCGGUAGUGCGAAUAAAUUAUAAAAUAAAUUUAGGUUGUUUACCCUUUGUUGCUACUUGCUAGCUAAGUUGUUAUCAUGCACGUCUAAUUGCAUCGUCAUUUUGGUGAUGUAUCUCUCUCCAUUAUCCAUGCUUAUCAUUUCAACUUUAAUUUUGAAAUUAAGAUUUAUCAUCCAAUUAUCGACAAAGUGAUUAUGAAUUUCUUACAAACCGAAAUCUUAAGGAAUGAUGUAUUGGUUUACUGUGGCUUUUGAUUUGCAACUUCUAAAAUGAGUGGAUAAUUAGUAAUUAUUGACUCAGAAAUUU
rnacentral:lncRNA from 1 species